UACGAGGGGGGCAAGCGUUGUUCGGAAUCACUGGGCGUAAAGGGUGCGUAGGCGGGUCUUUUAAGUCAGGGGUGAAAUCCUGGAGCUCAACUCCAGAACUGCCUUUGAUACUGAGGAUCUUGAGUAUGGGAGAGGUGAGUGGAACUGCGAGUGUAGAGGUGAAAUUCGUAGAUAUUCGCAAGAACACCAGUGGCGAAGGCGGCUCACUGGCCCAUUACUGACGCUGAGGCACGAAAGCGUGGGGAGCCAAACAGGG
rnacentral:rRNA from 1 species